rnacentral:rRNA from 1 species
GAUGAACGCUAGCGGGAGGCCUAACACAUGCAAGCCGAGCGGUAGAGUCUCUUCGGAGACUUGAGAGCGGCGCACGGGUGCGGAACACGUGUGCAACCUGCCUUUAUCUGGGGGAUAGCCUUUCGAAAGGAAGAUUAAUACCCCAUAAUAUACUGGAUGGCAUCAUCUGGUAUUGAAAACUCCGGUGGAUAGAGAUGGGCACGCGCAAGAUUAGAUAGUUGGUGAGGUAACGGCUCACCAAGUCAGCGAUCUUUAGGGGGCCUGAGAGGGUGAUCCCCCACACUGGUACUGAGACACGGACCAGACUCCUACGGGAGGCAGCAGUGAGGAAUAUUGGACAAUGGGUGAGAGCCUGAUCCAGCCAUCCCGCGUGAAGGACGACGGCCCUAUGGGUUGUAAACUUCUUUUGUAUAGGGAUAAACCUAGAUACGUGUAUCUAGCUGAAGGUACUAUACGAAUAAGCACCGGCUAACUCCGUGCCAGCAGCCGCGGUAAUACGGAGGGUGCAAGCGUUAUCCGGAUUUAUUGGGUUUAAAGGGCCCGUAGGCUGAUUUGUAAGUCAGUGGUGAAAUCUCACAGCUUAACUGUGAAACUGCCAUUGAUACUGCAAGUCUUGAGUGUUGUUGAAGUAGCUGGAAUAAGUAGUGUAGCGGUGAAAUGCAUAGAUAUUACUUAGAACACCAAUUGCGAAGGCAGGUUACUAAGCAACAACUGACGCUGAUGGACGAAAGCGUGGGGAGCGAACAGGAUUAGAUACCCUGGUAGUCCACGCCGUAAACGAUGCUAACUCGUUUUUGGGUUUUCGGAUUCAGAGACUAAGCGAAAGUGAUAAGUUAGCCACCUGGGGAGUACGAACGCAAGUUUGAAACUCAAAGGAAUUGACGGGGGCCCGCACAAGCGGUGGAUUAUGUGGUUUAAUUCGAUGAUACGCGAGGAACCUUACCAAGGCUUAAAUGGGAAAUGACAGGUUUAGAAAUAGACUUUUCUUCGGACAUUUUUCAAGGUGCUGCAUGGUUGUCGUCAGCUCGUGCCGUGAGGUGUUAGGUUAAGUCCUGCAACGAGCGCAACCCCUGUCACUAGUUGCCAUCAUUAAGUUGGGGACUCUAGUGAGACUGCCUACGCAAGUAGAGAGGAAGGUGGGGAUGACGUCAAAUCAUCACGGCCCUUACGCCUUGGGCCACACACGUAAUACAAUGGCCGGUACAGAGGGCAGCUACACAGUGAUGUGAUGCAAAUCUCGAAAGCCGGUCUCAGUUCGGAUUGGAGUCUGCAACUCGACUCUAUGAAGCUGGAAUCGCUAGUAAUCGCGCAUCAGCCAUGGCGCGGUGAAUACGUUCCCGGGCCU